rnacentral:tRNA from 2 species
GGGUCUGUGACGGAAUUGGUAUACGUGUAUGUCUUAGGAACAUAUGCCGAAAGGCGUGUCGGUUCAAGUCCGACCAGACCCACCA